rnacentral:lncRNA from 1 species
UAAAAUAAAAUAUUAUAUUUUAUAAAACAGGUAUUUUUUUUUUUUUUCUUUUUUUAGAGAUAAAUAGCACGCUACCCACUUCGUUUAUUUUAUUUAAAAAUAAACUUAGCUAGAAAUGCGAAUCAACUAGGAUUCGAACUUGGGUUUCGAAUACCAACCAUUAAAUUUUUUGCCACUUGCUUUAGGGAUGGUCGGUAAAACAGGUACUACUCUUAAGUUAUCUUUUUUAUAAGGAUAU